UGACUCCACUGCAGUGUCCAUAGAGACCCUGGAAGGAAAUCGUUUGAAGACAGUAUCGGGAAAUAAACAUCUAAAAAAAACACAAUUUAACUUCUUGGAAACACCGACAGGGAAGGCGCAGAGCUCAGAUGGGAUGAGAUCGGAUGAUAGAUUCAGGAACAUGUACAGAUUGAAACCUUUACACAGCCCCGUGCUAUAAAUGAGAGAAUACCUGGAAACUUAGAAUCACCAGCAAGUCUCCGUUGAUCUCCGCAAUGCUUUUAGAGGAUACUCCAAGGCUGCCGAAAGGGAGAGCAACUUGUCUCGUCUGCUCCCUGCACCAUGAACGAUCUUAGGAGGGAAACCCACGAAACAUUUUCACAGAGCUCAAAGUGCAGAUAUUAUCCUGUUUCUAGUCAGACUAGGCCCAGCAGACAGUUCAGCACCUCAACAACUCGGGGCACGCUGGUAGAGCUGAAACAUUUGGAAUACGUGCAAGAAGGGAGGAAGUGAUAGUUACCCAAUGCCUAUCAUUAUAACUGUGUCCUGGUGUCAAACAGUAUUCCAGAAUGGAAGCAGCGUCAGACCUUCACAUUGAAGGACAUGGACAGUUUACCAGUGUAAUGUUAUAAAUUGUGACCCGUGUUCUACAUUUUGUAGUGCUUUUUCGCAGUGCACUAGUUUCUUUGCCAUGAAUUUAGGCAGUAAUUAGAGGUAUCUGUGCCAGCUUGGCUGAGAAGGUAGUAUUCUCACUUCUAAACACAAGGGUCCUGAUUUCAAGUAUGGACUUAAGCACUUAAGCUAAAUUGACACUUUAGUGUAGCACUGAAGGAGUGCUGCAUCGAUGGAGGCGCUGUUUUUUUUUGAAAAAACUUUUUGCUCGCGUUGUUAAAGGAGACAACAGACUAGACUAACAAAAGCCCUGCUUCCAUACUGUAACUUCUACGAAGCUGUAUAUGUAGGAAGAAUCUCUCUCUAUUGAUGUUAUUGACAUAUGUCAGGGAUUGAAAGGGAUUGUCUUGACAAGUAAGGGUGUCCACUAAACUGAGCAACGUGAGAACAUACAGAUCGGGAAUAACCGUGUAAUCCUUUGGAUUAAUAGAAAUAUCCCAAUGAUCGGUUUUAUAAAUUGAUUAUUGGUAUUUUGCUUCUUCUCAGUAUUUUUGUGGGUGGUUAGAAGGCUGUAUUUAUAUGUAACAGCACCGUGACGAACUCAUUGUGGUAUUGAAUGAGUUAACAGAAACCCGUUAAUGAUUACAGUCUCAUUUCUUCAUGUUGAAGGAACUGGGUAGUUCGUUAAAGGUAAAUCCAAAUCCUUUUUUAAUGUCAUAAUAUGCGACCCCCAUUCUGCAAUACUUCAGAGGCUCUCAGCGCUGCAUUAGUGUAUUGACAGUGAAGAGAGACAAUAGUUGGAGUGACAGCAGCUAGCUGUGUCAGCUUGGCUCAGUUGGUGAUAUUCCCAUUUCUGAAUCCAAGAGUCAUGAUCUCACGUUCCAUCGUGGACUUGAGGACAUAGCCUAAACUGACACGUCAGUGUAAUACUGAGGGAAUGCUCCAUUGUUCCUGCCUUUCCCCCCUUUUAUUUACUCGUGUGGAAGCUAAACACCAACACGGAUUGUCUGAGCCUAUCGGCCUGUUUCGAUGUUAUAACUUCUACGAAGUCUAUCCAUAUUGAUUCUGUUAAUGUAUGUCAAAAAUGAAAAAUUAUUUGUUCUGAUGAGUGAAGUUUGGAUUAUUGGUAGAAAAGAUAUCUAGUAAACUGAGCACAGAAUAGUGAUCACAGUAAGACCGAGUAUGACCGAUUUUUGUCGAUUAAUGUAACUAUCUUAAUGAUCAAUUUAAUAAAUUGAUUAUUAGUC